rnacentral:rRNA from 1 species
UACAGAGGUGGCAAGCGUUGUUCGGAAUUACUGGGCGUAAAGGGCGCGUAGGCGGUUCGAUAAGUCCUGUGUGAAAUCCCCCGGCUCAACUGAGGAACUGCACGGGAGACUGUCGGGCUUGAGUUCGGGAGAGGGAAGCGGAAUUCCGGGUGUAGCGGUGAAAUGCGUAGAUAUCCGGAGGAACACCGGUGGCGAAGGCGGCUUCCUGGGCCGACACUGACGCUGAGGCGCGAAAGCUAGGGGAGCAAACGGG